UACGUUUCGGAAAGAAGGGCAAGUUACGACCCCGUUAUAUAGGACCUUUUGAGAUCCUAGAUAAGUUAGGUCUUUGUAGCCUAUAAGUUGGCUCUGCCACCAAGCAUUGUGGAUGUAUACAAUACGUAUAGCACCUCGCAAUUAAGAAAGCAUGUGAUUAAGCAAGAUAAAGUAGUCCUAGCCAGGACCUAAGUUGUGAUGAGAAAUCAGUCCAGAUACUUGAUCGCAAGAUUCAAGUUUUACGAGGCAAUAAUAUUGUUCUCGUCAUGUAGUGGAACCAUCACAGGAUGGAAAAAGCCACAAAAGAGAUGAAUGAAACGAAUGACUAGUAUCACAAGAUAGAAUACCAGAUAUGCAAUUCCGAGGACGGAAUUUUUAUAAGGAGGGAGGAAUGUAAUACCCCGUUUCCCUGAGUUAAAUUUAGAAUUUAUUUUCGAAAUUUAGAAGUAAGAUGAUUCACGCCGGAUUGAGAAAAAGAAUUUAUUUUAAUUCCAACAAAGACGAUUUACAAAAAUAUAUAUAUGUAAAUUUAGUUAUUAAAUUUAUAUGCAUUACAUAUUUAUUUAAUUGAGCAUCGAUCAUUUACACGAACUAUUUUAUUUAGCGAACACUGAACGAUUAUUACAGUUUUCAUAGUACAACCCGGAAGAUUUUUAUUUUAUUUUAUUUUAUUACUCCCACUUACUCCUACACCCACCUACUCCAUCAGCCACCAUAUGCCACAACUUUAUAGCUUUUGUUGAGACACCUCAUUCACCACCAUACCUUUCAAUCAUACCAUUACCUUUCAAUCAUACCAUCCUCUGCAAAGACACCUCAUUCAUCACCAUACCUUUCUCUACAAAGUCAUUUCACUUCAAUAAAGGAUCUAUCUUUUCCCUCACUUAGCAUUUUCGAUCAAUCUCAUUUCUCCCUCAAGUUACUAUCUAGUUCCAACAAACCCAAAGAAAUCCAAGUGCAGAGCUCAGCCAUAUUGCGAAUGGAUCAAAUUGCCACAAAACUCAGAUUUCAGCAACUCAAACCAGAGGCUUUGAGCAUCAGAAGGAUUAGCACUGCUACUCCGAUUCAGAAAUAAGGUUAAACGACAGGCUUUGCCUAGACAGGUUGAGCAGUUGAUGGAAUGGAAUGAUGUUGAGCGGGUGUUCCUUUGACAUUUCAAGAAAUGUAACCUUGAGUAUACAUCUUCAUAUGUAUAUCUCACACGUUUUCCGCUGCAAAACACUUUGAUUAGGAUAACUUUAUGUUAUGAAGUUGGGAUACGUGUUAUUGGGUAACCCACCUUAAUCAGUUCUCAUUUAUGUGUAUGUUUUAUAAGUAUCCAAAUAAUCAUAUAUGAUCCUAGCAUUUUAUCUAUGAGUGACAUUUCCAUAUACUUUAAUGCUAAGUAAUUGUCCA